AACGAACGCUGGCGGCAUGCCUAACACAUGCAAGUCGAACGAGACCUUCGGGUCUAGUGGCGCACGGGUGCGUAACGCGUGGGAACCUGCCCUUAGGUUCGGAAUAACUCCCCGAAAGGGGUGCUAAUACCGGAUAAUGUCUUCGGACCAAAGAUUUAUCGCCUUUGGAUGGGCCCGCGUUGGAUUAGCUAGUUGGUAGGGUAAAAGCCUACCAAGGCGACGAUCCAUAGCUGGUCUGAGAGGAUGAUCAGCCACACUGGGACUGAGACACGGCCCAGACUCCUACGGGAGGCAGCAGUGGGGAAUAUUGGAAAAUGGGCGAAAGCCUGAUCAAGCAAUGCCGCGUGAGUGAUGAAGGCCUUAGGGUUGUAAAGCUCUUUUACCCGGGAUGAUAAUGACAGUACCGGGAGAAUAAGCUCCGGCUAACUCCGUG
rnacentral:rRNA from 1 species